AUGUUCCUGGCACUCCUCCCAGUGCUGGGGAUAAACUUUCUUCUGAGAGUUGCCCAAGCUCAGUCAGUGACUCAACCUGAUGCUAAUGUCACUGUCUCUGAAGAAGCCUCUCUGCAGCUGAAAUGCAAGUAUUCCACCCCUGGGGCACCUUCCCUGUUCUGGUAUGUCCAGUACCCACAGCAAGGACUGAAGAUGCUCCUCAAGUACUAUUCAGGAGACCCCGUGGUUCAAGGAUUAAAUGACUUUGAGGCUGAAUUCAGCAAGAGCAACUCUUCCUUCCACCUGCGGAAAGCCUCUGUGCACUGGAGCGACUCGGCUGUGUACUUCUGUGCUCUGAGCGCACAGUGUCUGGGGCUGCAGGGGGAGCUGAACACAAACACCCAUGGCCGUGGGUGCUCAGACACAAGGUCUCUCCUUGUGCUCUCUGAAGCGUCUCUUUCAACUUGGCGAGGAAAGAAGGGAAGUUGUGCUGUCCCAGCUGCCUUUCUGCAACUCAUUUCCAGCUAA